rnacentral:rRNA from 1 species
UGAGCAAUCUACCCUUGUGCGGGGGAUAACCCGGGGAAACCCGGGCUAAUACCGCAUGUUUCGAGAGAGUGGAGUCACUCUUUUGGGAAACGUGGCCUCUUUACAAUGCUACGGCGCAGGGAGGAGCUCGCGGGCUAUCAGCUAGUUGGUGAGGUAACGGCUCACCAAGGCUUCGACGGGUAGCCGGCCUGAGAGGGCGACCGGCCACACUGGGACUGAGAUACGGCCCAGACUCCGUACGGGA